rnacentral:tRNA from 1 species
GGUGGCUCAGUGGUAGAGCACUUGCCUUGCAUGCAUGAGGCCCCAGGUUCGAUUCCCCAGCACCA